GUUUAUCCCGAUAAGCGCGGUCGAUUUGUUUUGAAACAGGUGGGGAUGACACAUUCUUAUGGAAAUGGGAGAAGGUUAGAUGACAGUAAGGCAUUGGGUGAACUGGACUUCCAGAUUGGAGACUAUUUGGACGUGGCAAUCCUGUAGAAACCUUGGCUGUUAUUAAGUUGGAGAGUGAGAGUUAUUUGUUUGCUGCCUUAGAAGAUUGGUUUUGGCGCUGUUUGUAGUAUCGAUUCUGUUCUGCAUUUUUUAUUCUCUAUGUUUAGAUGUCUUGUGAGGUAGAAGAACAGAUUGUAUUGAUUGUGAAUUUUUG
rnacentral:misc_RNA from 1 species